rnacentral:ncRNA from 1 species
AAAGACUUAGUCCUAACCUUACCGUUGAUUUAAGCUAAACAUACACAUGCAAGUUUCCGCACUCCAGUGUGAAUGCCCCAGCCUCUUUCCAGCUUAAGAUAAAGGAGCAGACAUCAGGCACGCUUUAGCAGCCCAAGACGUCUUGCUUAGCCACACCCCCACGGGUAUUCAGCAGUGAUUAACAUUAAGCAAUAAGUGAAAACUUGACUUAGUUAUAGCUUCCUAGGGCCGGUAAAUCUUGUGCCAGCCACCGCGGUCAUACAAGAGGCCCAAACCAACUGUCAUACGGCGUAAAGAGUGGUACAAUAUUAUCUAAGUAACUAAGGCCAAACUGCAACUGAGCUGUCAUAAGCUGAAGAUGCACUUAAGACCACCCAUUAAAACGACCUUAACCACCCAUGAUAUACUAUAUACCACGAAAGCUAGGACCCAAACUGGGAUUAGAUACCCCACUAUGCCUAGCCAUAAAUCCUGAUGUGCUAUAUUCACUAAGCCAUUCGCCUGGGAACUACGAGCACAAACGCUUAAAACCCUAAGGACUUGGCGGUGUCCCAAACCCACCUAGAGGAGCCUGUUCUGUAAUCGAUAACCCACGAUGCACCCGACCUCCCCUUGCACACAGCCUACAUACCGCCGUCUCCAGCUCGCCCUUACUGAAGGUUCAACAGCGGGCUCAAUAGCCAAAAUCUUCGCUAACAAGACAGGUCAAGGUAUAGCUAAUGGGGUGGAAGAAAUGGGCUACAUUUUCUAAGAUAGAACAUUCUUUAACGAAGAGAGGCAUGAAAUUUACCUCUGGAAGGCGGAUUUAGCAGUAAAAAGAGACCAUAGAGCUCUCUUUAAGACGGCUCUGGGACACGUACAUACCGCCCGUCACCCUCCUCACAGGCCACAAAUAGAUCAUAAUUAAUACACCUAAAAGCCAAAGAUGAGGUAAGUCGUAACAAGGUAAGUGUA